UACCAAGUGUCCAUGAGAUGAUGACAUCAAGGGUUCAUGAUCAUGUUUGACAAGGACAAGUUCAAGAUAACCAUUUGUAAGGAUUACAUGCUUGAAGCUUGUGGAUGUUCACAUGAUAGACAAAUGAAGAUGAAUACAAAGCAAGGCUUUCCACAUUGUGUAUGAAAGAGCUACUUGAAGACUUCAUCAAUAUCUUGCCUUCAGCUUGAGGCAAGAAGAAACAAUAACAUCAAGCUCAAGUCUAAGGCCUGACUCAAAGGUAUUAGUUCCUUUGACGUUAGUGGUGCGGAGUGAUGAUCACCAAAUAAACAUAUACACUCAAGUGUGGAUUAUCGGUAGCUAUGUAGUGUAGCUCCCUUACAAUUCUUCAGGUUUUAGGGAUCCCGCACUAUUAAGAGGGCAUCACUGGGUCUCGCAAGAAACUUUCUCAAAACUAUAGGCAAUUCCACUCUUUCUAUGUUCUUGGUUGAUCUGCUCAUGUUCGGUCGACUGGUGGUUCUCGGAUGUACGGACUCCGGAUGGCCGACGCCGUUCAAAAAUCCGGAGCCAGCCAACAGAGUCAAACCUUCGGACUUCUGGCCCCUCCGGUCGUCCAAGAAUCGGACGUCUGGGUACGAAAGGAAUUCCGUUGUCACCAAAC
rnacentral:lncRNA from 1 species